rnacentral:rRNA from 1 species
UCGGGAAUUUUGGGCAAUGGGGGAAACCCUGACCCAGCAACGCCGCGUGAAGGAUGAAGUAUUUCGGUAUGUAAACUUCGAAAGAAUAGGAAGAAUAAAUGACGGUACUAUUUAUAAGGUCCGGCUAACUACGUGCCAGCAGCCGCGGUAAUACGUAGGGUGCGAGCGUUAAUCGGAAUUACUGGGCGUAAAGCGUGCGCAGGCGGUUUGGUAAGACAGAUGUGAAAUCCCCGGGCUUAACCUGGGAACUGCAUUUGUGACUGCCAGACUAGAGUGUAGCAGAGGGGGGUAGAAUUCCACGUGUAGCAGUGAAAUGCGUAGAUAUGUGGAGGAAUACCGAUGGCGAAGGCAGCCCCCUGGGCUAACACUGACGCUCAUGCACGAAAGCGUGGGGAGCAAACAGGAUUAGAUACCCCCGUAGUCCCUGAGCGGGCUGGCAAGGCGCAU